rnacentral:lncRNA from 10 species
CUGAGGCAGGAGAAUCGCUUGAACCUGGGAGGUGGAGGUUGCAGUGAGCCGAGAUAACGCCACCACACUCCAACGAGGGCAACAGAGACUUCGUCACACACACACACACACACACACACAAAACAAAAAGUAGAGUCAAAAUCACAAUUAUAUGGUAGAGGGAAAGCAAGUUCUCUGCCCAAAUCAUUAACCUUUCUAUAUCCUACUGUAAAUUAACUUCACUUGAAAACAUCAAACAGAAAUGAGAGGAGGUGGUGCCUAAACCCAUGGUGCCCAACCACCAUCUAUGGAGUUGUGGCAUUACAUGGCUAAGCUGGUGAGAGUGAAUUACCAGAAACUCUGCACAGAAUUAAAUACCAAAGCAUUCUAAGAUCAAACCACUUUUGCUAACCUGUGCUGCCCUCAAUUUCAUAAAACAUAGAUAUGAAGAGUAAGGAAAUUAAGGGAAGAUAUAAGUGUUCAAUAACAUUGCUGAAUGACUGAAGUUUAAUUUGUAUAGUGCUUAACCACUUGCAAAGUUAUCGCCCAAUUAAAAGUCCAAAGGAUUUUGUACAAGCGCAGAGCAUUGGGCGGUUUCACUAGAACAGAAUGAAAGUAAUGGUUAAUGCUUUUCACGGCAUACAUUCAUUAAGACAGAAUUCUCAAAAAUGUGGGCAGACUCUGAAAGCCUGAGGUUUCAAACCCUGAACCAAUGUCAGAAAAUACGUCAUUUGUAUGGAUGGAGAAGAAUGGGCAAGGAAGUGAAAAGAGACUACUAUUUCCAGAAUGUCACACUGCUUUUGCACACUCUCAAAUAGGCAUCUGCUUGUGUGGGAGCUGUGAUUCCCUCUCCCCUCCCCACUGUCCUCUAGUAUUGUUUAAAAAUGACGGAAGAAACAAUAGCUAGCUCCACAGAAGUCAUCCUCACAAGCCAGAUGUCAAGUGAGGGCUGGCAACGUUGGGGCAAAAUUAAAAGUGAUGGAGGGGGAAACAGUGGUGUGCCCCUUGGGUGGAUAGAAGGUUUCAUUAAUGUCUGUGAUGGAAUCAUGAACCACAACAGUGAGGCAUUUCCGCCUCUGGCCUUUUUUUGGUUUUUGUUUUUUUUAGAAUCAGGAUCUCACUCUGUCGCCCAGGCUGGAGUGCUGAGGCACAAUCAUAGUUCACCGCACCUCGAACUCCUAGCUUCAAGCGAUCCUCCCACCUCAGCCUCCCAAAGUGUUGAAAUUACAGGUGUGAGCCACUAAGUCCACCUGCCUUUUUAAGAUGUGUUUGAAAAUAUCCAGGAGAGCAACUCAGAAGUUAUAGUCUUAAAACAUACCCAUUCAGGCAGCUUUGUUUUCCAUGCGGAAAGCCCAGGUUGGCUGAUAUUCCUGGAGGCUUCACGCAUCCUGGGAGGCGGCUGAGGUAUUCCUUUUCUCCCUUUUAAACAACUGACAGACACUUUCCAGCAUCUUCCUGGUGGCUGAGUUGAUGAGGGAUUUUUUCCCCUCGUACAGUCCUAUUUAUGAAAAUCAGCAGCUAGUUGGUAGCAGGUUAAGAAGCUCCAGGUGUUGGGGGAAAGCAAGCUCCCCAUAAUUAGCAUUUUCCCAUUGAAAUAUCAUUAUAUCCCUGAAAUAUUAUAACUUGAGUGUCCUUAAUUUUCUACAGAUUUUUAUUUUGCAGUGUGAACAAGAUCCUUAAGCUCAGAGAAGAAUCAUUUCCUAGGAAAAAGACUAGCAACACAGAUGCUCCAUGCAACCACUUCUUGUAAAACACCAGUACUUAGACACACAGACAGAUUUUUAAACAUAAUUCUAAGUUCAACAGACCAGACUCAACGCACAGUGAUGCACAAGAAUGGGCUAUGUGCCCACCCCCAAAACACUGUGGAAGCACACUAAGAAUGAGUUCUGAUGAGCAGGUGUUCCAGGCAGAGAAAUGCUUCUAGUCAGAAUCACCCUGAGUUUCAAAAACAGAUUUUUAAAGAUCAAUUUCUAGGUGCAUGUUUUUUGUUUUUUGUUUUUGAGAUGCAGUUUCGCUCUUGUCGUCCAGGCUGGAAUGCAGUGACACGAUCUCGGCUCGCUGCAACCUCUGCCUCCUGGGUUCAAGCAAUUCUCCUGCCUCAGCCUCCCGAGUAGCUGUGAUUACAGGCGCACGCCACUGCACCAGGCUAAUUUUUUGUAUUUUUUUUUUUUUUAGUAGAGAUGGGGUUUCACCAUGUUGGCCAGGCUGGUCUUGAAUUCCUGACCUCAGGUAAUCUGCCUGCCUCAGCCUCCCAAAGUGCUAGGAUUAUAGGCGUGAGCCACCACGCCGGCAUUUUAGUAAUUUUAACGGAGACGGGGUUUCACCAUGUUGGCCAGGCUGGGGUCACAAACUCCUGACCUCAAGUGAUCCACCUGCCUCAGCCCCAAGUAAUAUAUUUUGCGGUAGCUUUUUGAUGCAAAUAUCAGAUUAUUGUACUGAGACAGGAAUAUUUUGGACUGAUCCUUAAAAACCCAUAAAAUUUUAAGCUGCUUUUAAAAAAACUACCCAAAAAUGACAUCCAUCAGACAACAACCCUUAUCCUAUACCCAGUGGGUCAGGGCUAGGCUAAACCACAGAAAGUUAUGGAAAUGAGUACAUCGCUUGCUAAAUAAAACCAGGGGUUACAUUGUGAUGAGAUGCAUCUGGUCAACCCCUUCAUUUUAUAGGUGAGAUUCAGAGGAAUGGCCUCCCCUGGCUAGGAAGUAAGAGAGCCAAGACUUGCUCAUAUUUCUUCUCUCUAAAUCUAUGCCCUUUCCAUGGUUUGAUACUUCCUAUGUAUCGAUGACAUUUUACAUUCCUAUUAUGUGUAAGGUAGCUAGACUUUCUUUGCCCAGCUGGCUAAGCAGCAUUAGCUUGGUUUUUCACAGGCAAGCCUUCUACAGUCUUCUUCGAAUGUACUUGUAGACUCUUUUUCAAAUGCAUUUGCACACUAAUAUGUAUAUUAGUUUUUUAUUGGUGCAUAACAAAUUACCACAAACUUAGUGGCUUAGGCAACAGGCAUCUACUAGCUCACAGUUUCGUAAGUCAGAAGCCCAGCCCAUCAUGACUGGGUUCUCUGCUCAGUGUGUCACAAGGCUGAAAUCUAGGUGUUGGACUGAGUUCUCAUCUAAAGCCUCUAGAGGAAAAAGCCCCUUAAAAGCUCAUUCUUGUCAUUAAUAGAAUCCAGUUCCUUGCAGUUGUAGGACUGACAUCCCCACUUCCUUGCUGGCUGUCAGCUCCUUGGGGCUGCCGGCAUUCCUUGCCACACAGCCCCCUCCAUCUUCAGCUCACAAAGGUGCAUUUGAAUCUUCCUCAUGCUAAGAAUCUCCAGCUUCUCUUUCCUCAAGCAGCAAGACAAAACUCUCUGCUUUUAAAGGGCUGGUGUGAUUAAGUCAGACUCACCUGGAUAUUCUCCAGAUCUUAAGGUCAAUUAUACCAUAGAACAUAACUAGUCAAGGGAGUAAAUUCAUCACAGACAUAGUUCCAGGGAUUACUCAGGGUGUGUAUGCAACACGGGUCUGGGAGUGAAUCAUGGGGGCCAUGUCAGAAUUCUUCUUCCACACAAUGCUAAUAAGGGCAUGUUUAUAUUUCCCCUAACUCUGCCAAAUUAGAAAGCAAUUAUUCUGUCUGAAGUAAGAAUGAUGUAGUGGCAUGGACACAAUUUAGAAAGACCCUUCACAGAAACAAGCAUAUUCUAUGGCUUAAAACUUUCCACUUCAACCGGGAUAGCAAAGGGGUAGAAAUCAUAAAAACAGAUAAAGGAGAACAAUCUGGGGAUGAGACUGAAAUUGCCGAGUGAGACAGUGGGGGUGGGGUCUAAGGAAGCAGCUUUCACAACUGUCACAUACAACAGACUGUAAGAACAUGCUCCGUCAAGAUUGUGUCAUCUGUGUGCCCCACCCUCCUUUUUUGGGUUAAAGCAUAUAGCACUAGUUUCAUUAUAGCAGGGACCAUAUCUACCAACCAUCAAGGAUAAGCACAAUGCCCAGCACAUACUUAGCGCUCAAUCAACAUUGAUUCAAAUAAACUUGAGGUCAGAGGGGAAUGCUGAUACAUGCUGCUGAUUCUGCUAAAUUAGUCAGUGUUCUCCCCUCCCCCAACAAUGAGCACUUAGCCAGAAAAAAAGUGAAAACAGAAUUGGGAACUUCCUUUUAAAAAUGAGUGCCACCUCAGUUCCCUUCAUUUCGCCCUAUCAAAAUACUCCACUAAAAUAAAACUAAAGGAGUUUCUCAGAAUGCAGAAAUCUACAAGGACAAGAAGACUGAGAUGACAGCAGCAACAAUAUCACGAAAGCCAGAAAACUGAUUCAUGGUAAGUAACCAGCGUGAUUUAGCGUGGAUCCUAAACUAGCAGUGAUGAAAGCAGAACCAUCCAAAGCCUUCCCAGGACCUCCGAAGUAGGGAUUCAGGUGAAGCUUGUGAGCACAGCAGACUCUCAGGCCCCACGCCAGACCCACUAAAUCAGAACAUUCAGCCUGCCACAGAACUCUUGAAUUUGCAAAACAAACUCUGUACCCAUUAAACAGUAACUCCAUUCCUCCACCCCUGCUCCAGGAAAAAAAUAUACAUCCUUUCUGGAAAUACGGGCCUAGGAGUUAACUGCAGGAACUAAGAGUGCUAGAAUUCACCAAGAUCAUUACUUCCCACCUGGAUUUGGUAUCCUUAAAGGAGAAAGAAAAAAAAUUCUUUUCUGAUUUAUGAAUAUUCUGCAACGAUGCAAAUAAACCAGCCAUAAAAAUAAGCACAAAGAAAGUCCUCAGCCGGAGCGUCUCUGCCUGGCCGCCCAUCGUCUGGGAGGUGAGGAGCCCCUCUGCCUGGCUGCCCAGUCUGGAAAGUGAGGAGCGUCUCUGCCCGGCCGCCAGCCCAUCUAGGAAGCGAGGAGCGCCUCUUCCCCGCCGCCAUCCCAUCUAGGAAGUGAGGAGCAUCUCUGCCUGACCCGCCCAUCGUCUGAGUGGGGAGCGCCUCUGCCCCGCCGCCCUGUCUGGGAUGUGAGGAGCGCCUCUGCUGGGCCGCAACCCUGUCUGGGAGGUGAGGAGCGUCUCUGCCCGGCCGCCCCGUCUGAGAAGUGAGGAGACCCUCUGCCUGGCAACCGCCCCGUCUGAGAAGUGAGGAGCCCCUCCGUCCGGCAGCCACCCCAUCUGGGAAGUGAGGAGCCUCUCCGCCCAGCAGCCACCCCGUCCGGGAGGGAGGUGGGGGGGGGGUCAGCCCCCCGCCCAGCCAGCCGCCCCGUCCGGGAGGUGAGGGGCUCCUCUGCCCGGCCGCCCCUACUGGUAAGUGAGGAGCCCCUCUGCCCGGCCAGUCGCCCCGUCCAGGAGGGAGGUGGGGGGGUCAGCCCCCCGCCCGGCCAGCCGCCC